AUGAGAGUUUGAUCCUGGCUCAGGAUAAACGCUGGCGGCAUGCCUAAUACAUGCAAGUCGAACGGGGGUGCUUGCACCCCAGUGGCGAACGGGUGAGCAACACGUAUCUAACCUACCUCAUAGCGGGGGAUAACUUUUGGAAACGAAAGAUAAUACCGCAUGUGAAUCUUAUUAUCGCAUGAGAAAAGAUUGAAAGGACCGUUUGGUUCACUAUGAGAUGGGGAUGCGGCGUAUUAGUUAGUAGGUGAGGUAAUGGCUCACCUAGGCGAUGAUACGUAGCCGAACUGAGAGGUUGAUCGGCCACAUUGGGACUGAGAUACGGCCCAGACUCCUACGGGAGGCAGCAGUAGGGAAUUUUUCACAAUGGACGAAAGUCUGAUGAAGCAAUGCCGCGUGAGUGAUGACGGCCUUCGGGUUGUAAAGCUCUGUUGUAAGGGAAGAAAAAAUAGAGUAGGAAAUGCCUCUAUAUUGACGGUACCUUACCAGAAAGCCACGGCUAACUAUGUGCCAGCAGCCGCGGUAAUACAUAGGUGGCAAGCGUUAUCCGGAUUUAUUGGGCGUAUAGGGUGCGUAGGCGGUUUUGCAAGUUUGAGGUUAAAGCCCGGAGCUCAACUCCGGUUCGCCUUGAAAACUGCAUUACUAGAAUGCAAGAGAGGUAAGCGGAAUUCCAUGUGUAGCGGUGAAAUGCGUAGAUAUAUGGAAGAACACCUGUGGCGAAAGCGGCUUACUGGCUUGUUAUUGACGCUGAGGCACGAAAGCGUGGGGAGCAAAUAGGAUUAGAUACCCUGUAGUCCACGCUGUAAACGAUGAGUACUAGGUGUUGGGGUUAUCUCAGCGUCGCAGCUAACGCAUUAAGUACUCCGCCUGAGUAGUAUGCUCGCAAGAGUGAAACUCAAAGGAAUUGACGGGGACCCGCACAAGUGGUGGAGCAUGUGGUUUAAUUCGAAGCAACACGAAGAACCUUACCAGGACUUGACAUCCAGUGCAAAGCUAUAGAGAUAUAGUGGAGGUUAACAUUGAGACAGGUGGUGCAUGGUUGUCGUCAGUUCGUGCCGUGAGGUGUUGGGUUAAGUCCCGCAACGAACGCAACCCUUGUCGUUAGUUACUAACAUUAAGUUGAGGACUCUAACGAGACUGCUAGUGUAAGCUAGAGGAAGGUGGGGAUGACGUCAAAUCAUCAUGCCCCUUAUGUCCUGGGCUACACACGUGCUACAAUGGCUGGUACAAAGAGUCGCAAUCUCGCGAGGGGGAGCUAAUCUCAAAAAGCCAGUCUCAGUUCGGAUUGAAGUCUGCAACUCGACUUCAUGAAGCCGGAAUCACUAGUAAUCGCGAAUCAGCUAUGUCGCGGUGAAUACGUUCUCGGGUCUUGUACACACCGCCCGUCACACCACGAGAGUUGGUAAUACCAGAAGUGGGUAGCUUAACCGCAAGGAGAGCACCUCCCAAGGUAGGACUGGCGAUUGGGGUGAAGUCGUAACAAGGUAUCCGUACGGGAACGUGCGGAUGGAUCACCUCCUUU
rnacentral:rRNA from 1 species